GCUUGAUCUGUUUCAGGUCCCUGAAGAAAUCGGCAGUUUCUUCCUAAGAUCUCUUCACGUGUGAAUUCCGUCAGUUCAAGAAAGCUAUCUGAAGCAAAUAUAAUUGGAUUAUCAGGAAGUCUGGGAUCUGUAAUCACAAAAUUCUUUUCAAUACGCUCCAAAGUUGUUGCGAGGUCAAUUCCUUGACGUAUGUCCCUUUCUCUUUCAGCACGCUCCCAACUGUCAGUACGUUCUACUUCUGUCAUUAUUAUUUCAGGUCCAACAUUCUCUUCAUUUUCUAGCGGAAAAGAGAUGCUUGAGGGCCUUCCUUUAGACCCCUUUAAGGAAAGCCGUGAAGAUUUUCUGGACUUUUUACCCAACUCCUGAGACACAUCACCCCUUGCGUCCCACUGAGGUGUAUAUCGUCCAGGUGUACUUAUAUUGCUUUCAGUAUCAGCCGCUUUAGGAAGCAUAAAAUCUACUUGUGGCUUCUCUUUAUCAGUUCCAGAACUAGCGUCCUGACUAGACUUUAUAUGAGAGCGUGGACCCUUCACGGUUUGUACCACUUCUGUAAUGGAACCUAAAGCCUUUUCCUUCUGACGAGCAUCAUAUCUAAUUAAAGACUUGGGCAAACCAUUUGGUCGCAAUUCUUUCUCAUUAACACCUUCUGUGUAUUUGCUGACUUCAACCUGCAUUCCUAUAAACUUUAUCGUCUUUCCGCUGUCAUCUUUUAUAGGGGUGACAGUUAACAGGUUCCAAAAAGGGGUACCAUUCUUCUUGUAGUUUAAGAGCCUCCCACAGUAGCUUUUCCCUGUUUUCACAGCAUCUCGGAUUUUUGCUACUUCAUUCUGGUCUGUAUCUUUCCCCUGUAGAAAGCGACAAUUCCUUCCAACAAUCUCUUUCGAAGAAUAACCAGUCAUAGUAAAGAAGCCACUACUGGCAUAAACAAUAGGGCAAUCUGGUUUUGUGGCAUCAGAUACGACAAAUGUCUGUUGCAGUGUCGCUAAGGCAUCCUUCAGAUCCUGAGAAACUCUCGGAAAUUCAGCUCCAAGAUUCGACUCCUCGGAUGUCCUUGUUGAUCCAACUGAAUUCUUCUCUAAUGAAUUCUUGCUUCUUUCUCCAUCUGCAAAUGAAUUUUGUCCACUUCUGCUAAUUGCAUGAAAGCUACCUUCUCCAACAUCUGUCCUCACAGUUAAUCCCCACUCUGCAGCCCUCUCUGAUAUGCUGGUUUCACCUGGGAUCUGACUAUCUGCAUUGUCAUUCUGGUCAUUUCCUUUGAGAUCAAAGGCCAUCCACUUGUUAAUUAACUUGUCUGUUCCUGUCCUACUUGCAGAUUCCGCCCCUUUCACCGAAAUUUCUUGCACAUCAAUACCCUCAUUUCUACUACUACUAGCCAGGUUUGCACCAUCAUGAGUCGAUGCCGGGUCAAAGACAUCAAUUGAUCUUCUCUGGUUUUCCAUUUCUGCUCCUCAAAGCACAGAAAGUACUCAAACACAACCUGCAAUGUGAUGAGGCUAGAGUGAAAGAGAAUACAUUUCAGAAAAAUUAUCAGAGAAAUUGUGGAGAAUAAGUUAGCUAUGUGUUAUUGUAAAAGUGACAGGGAAGAGAGUAAGAACCAGAAAUAAUAGAUACUGG
rnacentral:misc_RNA from 1 species